AAGUCGAGGGGUAUAGUAGCAAUACUAGAGACCGGCGCACGGGUGCGUAACGCGUAUGCAAUCUACCUUUUACAGAGGGAUAGCCCAGAGAAAUUUGGAUUAAUACCUCAUAGUAUAGCUGAACCGCAUGGUUCUACUAUUAAAGUCACAACGGUAAAAGAUGAGCAUGCGUCCCAUUAGCUAGUUGGUAAGGUAACGGCUUACCAAGGCAACGAUGGGUAGGGGUCCUGAGAGGGAGAUCCCCCACACUGGUACUGAGACACGGACCAGACUCCUACGGGAGGCAGCAGUGAGGAAUAUUGGACAAUGGGCGCAAGCCUGAUCCAGCCAUGCCGCGUGCAGGAUGAAGCAUCUAUGGUGUGUAAACUGCUUUUGUACGARAAGAAACAUCCCGACGUGUCGGGACUUGACGGUAUCGUAAGAAUAAGGAUCGGCUAACUCCGUGCCAGCAGCCGCGGUAAUACGGAGGAUCCAAGCGUUAUCCGGAAUCAUUGGGUUUAAAGGGUCCGUAGGCGGUCUUAUAAGUCAGUGGUGAAAUCUCCCCGCUCAACGGGGAAACGGCCAUUGAUACUGUAGGACUUGAAUUAUUAGGAAGUAACUAGAAUAUGUAGUGUAGCGGUGAAAUGCUUAGAGAUUACAUGGAAUACCAAUUGCGAAGGCAGGUUACUACUAAUGGAUUGACGCUGAUGGACGAAAGCGUGGGUAGCGAAUAGGAUUAGAUACCCUGGUAGUCCACGCCGUAAACGAUGGAUACUAGCUGUUGGGGGCAACUUCAGUGGCUAAGCGAAAGUGACAAGUAUCCCACCUGGGGAGUACGUUCGCAAGAAUGAAACUCAAAGGAAUUGACGGGGGCCCGCACAAGCGGUGGAGCAUGUGGUUUAAUUCGAUGAUACGCGAGG
rnacentral:rRNA from 1 species